rnacentral:rRNA from 1 species
GAUGAACGCUAGCGGCAGGCCUAAUACAUGCAAGUCGAGGGAGAAUGUUGGAUUCGUCUGACAUGAAACCGGCGCACGGGUGCGUAACACGUAUGCAACCUACCUUUAACUGGGGUAUAGCUCAGAGAAAUCUGAAUUAAUCCCCCAUAAGACUACGACAUGGCAUCAUGAUGUAGUUAAAGCUCAGGCGGUUAAGGAUGGGCAUGCGGUACAGUAGCUAGUUGGUGAGGUAAUGGCUCACCAAGGCUACGAUGUAGAGGGGGUCUGAGAGGAUGAUCCCCCACACUGGUACUGAGGCACGGACCAGACUCCUACGGGAGGCAGCAGUAGGGAAUAUUGGUCAAUGGACGCAAGUCUGAACCAGCCAUGCCGCGUGAAGGAUGAAGGCCCUAUGGGUCGUAAACUUCUUUUAUUAGGGAAGAAAAAACGGGAUGCGUCCUGUACUGACGGUACUUAAUGAAUAAGGAUCGGCUAACUUCGUGCCAGCCGCCGCGGUAA